rnacentral:rRNA from 1 species
CACGUAGGGCGCGAGCGUUGUCCGGAAUUAUUGGGCGUAAAGAGCUCGUAGGCGGCCUGUUGCGUCCGCUGUGAAAGCCCGGGGCUUAACCCCGGGUCGGCAGUGGAUACGGGCAGGCUAGAGGUAGGUAGGGGAGAACGGAAUUCCCGGUGUAGCGGUGAAAUGCGCAGAUAUCAGGAGGAACACCAAUGGCGAAGGCAGAUCUCUGGGCCGUAACUGACGCUGAGGAGCGAAAGCAUGGGGAGCGAACAGG